rnacentral:rRNA from 1 species
AGUGAACGCUGGCGGCGUGCCUAAUACAUGCAAGUCGAACGGAGUGGCGCACGGGUGAGUAAUGUAUAGCUAAUCUGCCCUACACUAGAGGAAAACAGUUGGAAACGGCUGCUAAUACUCUAUAGUGUAGGAUGAUUCUAUAUUUUAUCAGCUAGUUGGUGAGGUAAUGGCCCACCAAGGCUAUGACGCAUAACUGGUCUGAGAGGAUGAUCAGUCACGCGGGAGCUGAGACACGGUCAAGACUCCUAGGGGAGGCAGCAGUAGGGAAUAUUGCACAAUGGGGGAGACCCUGAAGCAGCAUCGCCGCGUGGGGGAUGACACUUUUCGGAGCGUAAAGUCCUUUUGUUAGAGAAGCGGUACCUAACGAAUAAGCACCGGCUAACUCCGUGCCAGCAGCCGCGGUAAUAC